GGGCCCGCACAAGCGGUGGAGCAUGUGGUUCAAUUCGAUGCAACGCGAAGAACCUUACCUGGUCUUGACAUCCCGGGAAUCUCCCUGAAAGGGGAGAGUGCCUUCGGGAACCCGGUGACAGGUGCUGCAUGGCUGUCGUCAGCUCGUGUCGUGAGAUGUUGGGUUAAGUCCCGCAACGAGCGCAACCCUUGUCUUUAGUUGCCAGCGGUCAGGCCGGGCACUCUAGAGAGACUGCCGGUGUCAAACCGGAGGAAGGUGGGGAUGACGUCAAGUCCUCAUGGCCUUUAUGACCAGGGCUACACACGUGCUACAAUGACCGGUACAAAGGGCAGCGACACCGCGAGGUGAAGCAAAUCCCAAAAAACCGGCCCCAGUACGGAUUGCAGUCUGCAACUCGACUGCAUGAAGUUGGAAUCGCUAGUAAUCGCGGAUCAGCACGCCGCGGUGAAUACGUUCCCGGGCCUU
rnacentral:rRNA from 1 species